UAUCCUCUAUUGACUGAUGUUUGUGAAUUUGAGCAUCUUCUAGAAUAAUCUUGGCAUCUUCUUAAAUUAUUUUUUUUAGAAAACAACAAUCAAAUGUGUAUUUGUCAUUAGUGUCCAACACUGGGCAUAAAAUAUGUAAGCUCAAGAUCUCCUUAUAGUAGUGUAGGCUACGUACGUCUUUUGUUUUACCUUACAUAGGACACAGCACCUGUGGCGCUAUUCGAUGCGUCCCU
rnacentral:lncRNA from 1 species